rnacentral:rRNA from 1 species
CGAAAGGCGUAGUCGAUGGGAAACAGGUUAAUAUUCCUGUACUUGGUGUUACUGCGAAGGGGGGACGGAGAAGGCUAUGUUGGCCGGGCGACGGUUGUCCCGGUUUAAGCGUGUAGGCUGGUUUUCCAGGUAAAUCCGGAAAACCAAGGCUGAGGCGUGAUGACGAGGCACUACGGUGCUGAAGCGACAAAUGCCCUGCUUCCAGGAAAAGCCUCUAAGCAUCAGGUAACAUCAAAUCGUACCCCAAACCGACACAGGUGG